UACGUAGGGUGCAAGCGUUGUCCGGAAUCAUUGGGCGUAAAGAGCGUGUAGGCGGCCUCAUAAGUCUGCUGUGAAAGUCCAGGGCUCAACCCUGGAAAGCCGGUGGAUACUGUGAGGCUAGAGUCCGGAAGGGGCGAGUGGAAUUCCUGGUGUAGCGGUGAAAUGCGCAGAUAUCAGGAGGAACACCAAUGGCGAAGGCAGCUCGCUGGGACGGUACUGACGCUGAGACGCGAAAGCGUGGGGAGCAAACAGG
rnacentral:rRNA from 1 species